GAUGAACGCUAGCGGCAGGCUUAACACAUGCAAGUCGAGGGGUAGAAGGAGCUUGCUCCUUUGAGACCGGCGCACGGGUGCGUAACGCGUAUGCAAUCUACCUUGUACAGGGGGAUAGCCCAGAGAAGUUUGGAUUAAUACCCCAUAGUGUAACGAAAAGGCAUCUUUUUGUUACUAAAGUUCCAACGGUACAAGAUGAACAUGCGUCCCAUUAGCUAGUUGGUGUGGUAACGGCACACCAAGGCAACGAUGGGUAGGGGUCCUGAGAGGGAGAUCCCCCACACUGGUACUGAGACACGGACCAGACUCCUACGGGAGGCAGCAGUGAGGAAUAUUGGUCAGUGGGCGCAAGCCUGAACCAGCCAUGCCGCGUGCAGGAUGACGGUCCUAUGGAUUGUAAACUGCUUUUGUACAGGAAGAAACACUCCCUCGUGAGGGAACUUGACGGUACUGUAAGAAUAAGGAUCGGCUAACUCCGUGCCAGCCGCCGCCGUAAGAC
rnacentral:rRNA from 1 species